rnacentral:rRNA from 1 species
UUGGAACCUGCCCAAAGUGAGGAAUAAGCCACCGAAAGUGGUCUAAUACUUCAUAAUAUCCAUCUCGUAUGGAUUAAAGCUUUAUGCGCUUUGGGAGGGGCCUGCGUAACAUUAGCUUGUUGGUGAGGUAAAAGCUUCACCAAGGCUUCGAUGUUUAACUGGUUUGAGAGGAUGACCAGUCACACUGGGACUGAGAUACGGCCCAGACUCCUACGGGAGGCAGCAGUAAGGAAUCUUCCACAAUGGGGCAACCCUGAUGGAGCAAUACCGCGUGCAGGAUGAAGCGUUUCGGCGUGUAAACUGCUUUUAUCACCGAAGAUUAUGACUGUAGGUGAAGAAUAAGGACCGGCUAACUACGUG